rnacentral:lncRNA from 1 species
CCUGGCUGGGGCAAGUGUUGGCCUGCGGUUUUGGGGUCGGCCCCCAGCUGGAAGGAACCGCACUUUGCGAAAGCUUCCAAUAGGAGGCCUUUCGAGGUAAGGGCGUGGUUUCAAGAGGGCGGAGAAUUGGGCUCCGGAAAAUGGGAAGUAUGCGCUGAUUGGCUGAGCUUCUUGCCUUUACGAAUCAGCCUUCUUUGGACCGUGGAGGCCAUCAGUCAAAAGGACUACACCAAUCAGCGGCGAAAAUGCCUAUUCGCGGGAAAGCCCCGCCCCCAACAUACCUUAUUACUUCGGCGAUCAGGCGCAGCCCCUUCGCCGUGGUCCGACCGAGAGGAGAGCGGUGUAGUCUCGGCGGCGCUGCGGGGACUUCCACCCAGGACAGUUCUCCCUCCCCGGGCCUCCCCCUCCUGCCCUCUCGUGUCCUCGCCUCCUAGGCCUCUUUUAUCCGAUACUGUGGGGCGAGGUGAGAGCAGGCCCGGGGAGGGUGAUCACGCCGAGGAGCCGCAGUCUCUAGCAAGGUGAGCUGGAUUCGGGGUCACCCCUGGUGCGGGUGGGGAGCAGGGUUAGGGUAGGUCUGGCCCGCGCCUUUUUCCUGCUAGUGUGAGCACAAGCCCGGGCUAGUCCGAGCCUGGAGGGGCGGAGCCGACCCGUCCUCUCGAGGUGUCUUCGCGUCUCGCCAGCCCCGUGCCCGGAGCGAGAGUUGGACCCCUGAAGUUAGUGGUUCCUCGCCUGUCCAGCCCUGAGAUCCUCUGCCUUCCUGUUUUUAAAUUGAUGUGAGGAAGGACCGUCUGUGUAUGUAGGACUUAGCUUGUGCCUGAAACUUCGAUGUGUUAAGCGCGCUCCUAUUAAUGGAAUUUUCAGAUUCCUUUUGCAGCAGACCAGGUUAGCCCGCCCCGCGACGUGUGACGUGUUCCCGUCCCGUUAAUUGUCCUUUACUAACACUGAUAAAGCUUAACUGUUGUGGAGUACUGUGUGCUAAGUACUGUGCUAGCCUUAAGUGAAUCAUCCUGUGUAGUCUCUACAGCCGUUGGACAAGAGAGAUACUGUAUUCUUACCCUCAUUUUACAGAUGUACAAAUAAGCUCAUUAUUACUGUCCAGUGAUUAGUAAGCACCUACCUAUAUGCUAAGCUCUUCAUGUGAUUUCAUUUAAUCCAUACAAGGCUCAAGAUAGGUAAUAACCCUUUUUCCCACUUUACAGAUGAUAAGUUAACUUGAGCGGUUCUCUUUGUUAAUACACGACAAUACAUACUACCACCCGAUUUCAGUUUUGUUAUUCUGUUUUACAGUGUCUAUUAGUGAUGAUCAAUUGACAGUGAAUAACUUGAACAAGUAUUUCUUAAAGUUUUGUCGUUUUUUUUUUUAAAAGGUAUAGUACCUGUCCUCUAGGAACUUACAAUUUAAGAU